rnacentral:lncRNA from 1 species
AUCUGGGGAACAUUACCGACCACAGUUAUGCAUCUAUCACCAUUUGGAUUUGUUACAGCUGUCAAGCUCUGAGAUGACUCAUUAUGCUGCUGGGAUCAACCGCCCUAAGGGCAGCACUGACCAUGGGGGACGGAGCUGUGUUGUUCAGCGCCAGAGCUGGAAGAAAACUGUUCACAAGAGAGGCUCACCCUCAGCCCCAACUUCUUCAAAAAGAGUAUGUGGCUUGGGCACCCACCACAUGUAAAAGCGAAGAUCAGGCCGUAUCUGUCUUGGAAAGCAUUAUGGCAGCAGUGGGACAGGACAUUUGUCACCUGCCUACAGCAGAAGUAUGCUAUGAAGAAACAAUGAGACUACAGCAGCCUGUUUGGCUCCUGAGAUAACAUCUAUUUGUUCUGACUUUGAAAAAACAAGUUUGGGAAUUUCCUCUGUGAAGAAGGGCUCUUGAACACAAAUAUUUUUGAUGUUUAGCGCUCCCUAGGUGCUGAAUAGUUCUAUUUCUCAUUGCUUUUGGUUGCACUUGGACCAAACAUGAUAUGGAUUUAUCUGAUGAGAAAAGGCAUUUUCUAAAGGAAAUCACUUCAGAAACUUCCUUAAUUGAUGAGAAUGUGUGUUGCCUGCUAUACAGCUAGUGGUUAUUCUCCUAGUUAGCUGAAUACAUGACUCUUUUUUUUGUCUCUUCCUAAGACUGUCUUUUUCACAUCUGUGCAAAUAUUUUUUCAAGAGCUGAUGCCUGAUGCACUGAAUUACUGUAUUAUAAAAUGUAACUUUUUGGGGGGACUGUUUAUGGCCAAAAUAACAUGACUAAACAAAAUGUUAAUUGUAUUGGAGAUCAGGACAGUAUCAGACACUAUUUGAAACAAGGAUAAUACAGGUAUUCAAACUUAAGUCAAAACAUGAAUCUUAAAUUUUAUAGAAUUACCACUGGAGAUGUAGACAAGAAAUUCAUGAAAGUUCUGAAAGAAUUUGCCUCUGUUAUGGCUUGGGGGGGGGGUACUCAACACUAAGAUCAGUCUGUAGGAGGAAACAGAAAUGUUACUGAAAAAAAAUUUCCACAGUGGUUUCCUAUGAACUGUUGUUUAAUGGUAUUGUAAAUGGUUUAAAUAUUACAACUGUGACUCAAUUAUUUUCAGUACUGGUAGAAACCUUAUUAGGAUUUGUUCCCACCAAACCUGCUUUGCUUACCAUGACAGUUAAACUACCAUGGCUAAAUAUAGAUUACAAAAGAAAGGUUUCUUCACUUUCAAGUUCAAGUACAUGCUUAGACAAAUACUAUAAAUAGGCUGCUGUUUUGUAAACUAGUGCUCUUCAGAGCCACAGAAUAGAUGCUCUCCCAUGGGAAUUUUCUGUGUUCCCUCUGUGGCUUUUAUGGAAACAAGCAGCUGCUGUUAGAUAGGUAUCUAAACUCUCUUUUUAUUACUAUUAAUUUCAGGGCCAAUGAAAGCAAGGGACUGACAAAGCUUGCUAGUAGUGAGCAUUCAGGCAAGCUUCCCUAUGUAGUUCUGCCACUACAUUGACCUGUAAUACCCUUGGUACUUCUAUCCUGAUUUCUCCAGGGUACAGUUAAUUUUAAACAAGGUUCUAGUAUUGUUUUAAUUCUAUUAUAUCCAUGGCCUUGGUGGAUCUGACAAGCCUUGUCUGUGUUCUGACGCUGAUUUGGAGAACAUUCAGAAAUCUGUUCACUUGAAUGCAUGAUCAGAUGUGUUAAUAAUAGGGAUGAAGUUAAAUACCUGCUGUGAGGUAUCCAAGACUGGGGACCAGAGUCUACAAUGUUGUACAGAUCAGGUAAAACUUGGGAUCUGUUCUAAAUAUUUCACAAAUCCACUGUUUUUCUUUAAAGCUGUGUCUUUUAAAGGUACAAUUUUGCAAGCAGAAUUUAGCAACAGCGUAAAGAAAAAAUCCAGCAACCCUCUUGUAGAAUAAACAAGUCUAUGUAUCAAUAUGUAACA